GUGCUGAAAACCGACACUUCAUUCACGACUGGCAGCCGAUGGUAUGCUUAAAGGAACAGUUAGAGCAACACUAUUUCUAGGACUGACAUUGACAAAGAAACUCAUAACGUGCCUUUCCUUCCUAGGCUUUGGGUCCUUGUUAAGGUCUACACCACCGUUAAAUCUACCCAUGUAACAGGGGAUUUCUUCCUAAAACCUUGCUUCUGUUAGAAGACUCGACGUUUGUCGAAAGUAUAACUUUCUGAAAAAUAUCAAAGUCCACAAAAGAACGGUCAACUGAUCACAGAUCUUUCACUGAACACCUCAGUCUUCAGAUUAGAGUCUUGACCUCUUGACGUGAAGAUAGCUGCUGGAAUGGACGGACGAGUGGACAUCAGGGAUCUGGAAUGCUUCCUCCUGGAGGCCUGAUAUAAGGCUAGACUGCAGCAGUCAAGUGAAAAGAGAGGGAUCAGAAGCUGGUAUGAAAAAUCAAAAGCCAACAGGGGCAAGUGACUGGACUGGAGCGUUUUUUGGCUCCACGACAAGAGCUGCGAUCCAUAGAGGAGCAUCCUGUGACCCCUGAUCCCUGGACAAAGGCGACUGGUCGAUUUCCCAGUGUGCGGCAGCAUUGCCAACAAGAGGAACAUGAGGGGUGCGCCUGGGAAACAAACUGUUUAUUGUGUGGCAGGAUGGAGAAGGCCCUCGCUCUCCCACUGGGCUGCUGUGUGCUGUGUGCCCUUCUCCCAGCUGCCUCCGACCCACCCACAUAAGUGCACGCGCGCACACACAUGCGCACACACAUGCACACACACAUGCGCACACACAUGCACCUAUCCACACACGCUCAAACAUAACAGAUACUCACACAUGCGACUCCGGAAUUCCGGAAUUCCAGAAACAGAGGUAACACUCAGAGAUCCGACGGAAGGAGUAACAAGAAAGUGAUUAUUUUGCUUUCUUUAUGCCUCUGGUGUGAGCAGGCCCUGACUCUGGCCUUUGCGUCCUCUGAUUCAGCCCCACAGGGCCUGGAGAUCAAAGCCGCUUCGAGGACACUGGACAUGCACAGUCCAUUCCCUUACAUUAUAUAUGCACUUCCGACAGCAGCCAAGGACACAGUUUGGAGCAUAGUGCUGGCAGCGGGAUACGCACAGAAAUGAAACUAUAUACAGGCCCUUUGCAGAAAUGCCUCAAAACGCAAGAAUCCAACAUCCAUCCACGGCAAUCGGCCACCCCGACACAGUAAAACAUAGUACCCACUGAAACGCAGCAUUUAACAAAUAAGUUUUAAAUGUUUUUUUUCUUCUUUUUUUCCUUGUUUUUUUUGCCUUGUGUGAUUGUAAGGUUCGGCCAGCCCCAUUUGUUGUGGUUGAUUCAUUGAGUGCAGGGGCCUCUGUUUCUUUUGUUGUUUUUAUUAAAUAAAGCACAAAGCACUCCAUUCUGUCUGUUCCAGAGUUCAAGGACAUGGUCAAUAGAAGAGGCACCGCUUUUGUACACAAAGUAAAAAAUAAAGUGCAUUU